CAGACUGCACGAGAUAAGUUGGGUGGUCAAAAGGGAAAGAGCCCAGACCCGCAGCUAAGGUCCCAAAGUGCGUGUUAAGUGGAAAAGGAUGUGGGAUUUCGAAGACAACCAGGAUGUUGGCUCAGAAGCAGCCACACAUUAAAAGAGUGCGUAAUAGCUCACUGGUCGAGAGGUCCUGCGCCGAAAAUGUCCGGGGCUGAAACACGACACCGAAGCUCGGGAAUCAGAAAUGAUUGGUAGAGGAGCAUUGAAGACGGAACGAAGCCAUACCGGAAGGAGUGGUGGACUGUCUUGAAGAGAGAAUGCCGGAAUGAGUAGCGAGAGAGAAGUGGGAAUCUUCUCGGCCGAAUAUCCAAGGUUUCCAGGGUAAAGCUGAUCUGCCCUGGGUAAGUCGGGGCCUAAGGCGAGGUCGGAAGACGUAGCCGAUGGACAACAGGUUGAAAUUCCUGUACUGUGAUAUAUCAGAACUGUGGGGACACAGCGGGAAGGCAUGGGCCGGAAAAGGAAAAUCCGGUGCAAGCACCAGAGGAGUAUGGCAGGCAAAUCCGCCAUGCAAUCCGAAAGUGUGAUGCGGAGCGAACAAAAGUAGCGAAGCAUGCUUACCGGCUGUCGAGAAAAGCCGCUAUUGCGUAUAUCACACCCGUACCGUAAACCGACACAGGUGGAUGAGGAGAGAAUCCUAAGGCCGGCGGGAGAAGCAUUGUUAAGGAACUCGGCAAAAUGACCCCGUAACUUCGGGAGAAGGGGUGCUCUUGAAAAAGAGCCGCAGAGAAUUGGCCCAAGCAACUGUUUAGCAAAAACACAGGUCUAUGCAAAACCGAAAGGUGAGGUAUAUGGGCUGACGCCUGCCCGGUGCUGGAAGGUUAAGAGGAGAGGUUAUCGUAAGAGAAGCCUUGAAUUUAAGCCCCAGUAAACGGCGGCCGUAACUAUAACGGUCCUAAGGUAGCGAAAUUCCUUGUCGGGUAAGUUCCGACCCGCACGAAAGGCGUAAUGAUUUGGGCACUGUCUCGACAAUGCACCCGGUGAAAUUGAAAUACCAGUGAAGAUGCUGGUUACCUGCGCCAGGACGGAAAGACCCCAUGGAGCUUUACUCUAGCUUGAUACUGGGAUUCGGUAUUGCAUGUACAGGAUAGGUGGGAGGCUGCGAAGUGAUGACGCCAGUUGUCACGGAGCCGAUGUUGGGAUACCACCCCUGCAGUACUGGGUUUCUAACCUGCGGCCGUAACCCGGCCGGGGGACAAUGUCUGGUGGGGAGUUUGACUGGGGCGGUCGCCUCCGAAAGAGUAUCGGAGGCGCUCAAAGGUUCCCUCAGAAUGGUUGGAAACCAUUCGAAGAGUGCAAAGGCAGAAGGGAGCUUGACUGCGACACCGACGGGUGGAGCAGGUACGAAAGUAGGACUUAGUGAUCCGGUGGUAUGAAAGUGGGAUUGCCAUCGCUCAACGGAUAAAAGCUACCCUGGGGAUAACAGGCUUAUCACUCCCAAGAGUUCACAUCGACGGAGUGGUUUGGCACCUCGAUGUCGGCUCAUCGCAUCCUGGGGCUGUAGUAGGUCCCAAGGGUU
rnacentral:rRNA from 1 species